rnacentral:rRNA from 1 species
UACGUAGGGUGCGAGCGUUAAUCGGAAUUACUGGGCGUAAAGCGUGCGCGAGGCGGCUUCGCAAGUCAGACGUGAAAUCCCCGGGCUUAACCUGGGAAUGGCGUUUGAAACUACGGAGCUGGAGUGUGGCAGAGGGAGGUAGAAUUCCACGUGUAGCGGUGAAAUGCGUAGAUAUGUGGAGGAAUACCGAUGGCGAAGGCAGCCUCCUGGGCCAACACUGACGCUCAUGCACGAAAGCGUGGGGAGCAAACAGG